rnacentral:rRNA from 1 species
UAACGCGUGAGUGAUCUGCCCUGCACUCUGGGAUAAGCUUGGGAAACUGGGUCUAAUACCGGAUAUGACCGCAUGCCGCAUGGUGUGUGGUGGAAAGAUUUAUCGGUGCAGGAUGGGCCCGCGGCCUAUCAGCUUGUUGGUGGGGUAAUGGCCUACCAAGGCGACGACGGGUAGCCGACCUGAGAGGGUGACCGGCCACACUGGGACUGAGACACGGCCCAGACUCCUACGGGAGGCAGGAGUGGGGAAUAUUGCACAAUGGGCGGAAGCCUGAUGCAGCGACGCCGCGUGAGGGAUGAAGGCCUUCGGGUUGUAAACCUCUUUCAGCAGGGACGAAGCGUGAGUGACGGUACCUGCAGAAGAAGCACCGGCUAACUACGUGCCAGCAGCCGCGGUAAUACGUAGGGUGCGAGCGUUGUCCGGAAUUACUGGGCGUAAAGAGUUCGUAGGCGGUUUGUCGCGUCGUUUGUGAAAACCCGGGGCUCAACUUCGGGCUUGCAGGCGAUACGGGCAGACUUGAGUGUUUCAGGGGAGACUGGAAUUCCUGGUGUAGCGGUGAAAUGCGCAGAUAUCAGGAGGAACACCGGUGGCGAAGGCGG